GCUUGCUUUGUCUAACUCAGCCCUCCCACCCACUGCCAUUGUCUGUUCCUCUACCAGGAUUGUACCUCCCGAGGCUUCUCCAGCAAGGCAGCCUUCCAGGGCCUUCAUCUUCCCUGGCUGGAGGCGACCCUGCAGGCCUGAGUUCCCUGGUCCUUUCAGGUCUGAUCUUUCUCUGAGCUCCUCAGAGUAUUCUGUCCUACCAACAUUUCCUCAUCUUUAGAGAAAUAAUGGGACUUCACGGCGUCUGAAGAAACAGUGGGGUGCUGUCUGGGCCCUGGCCCCCAUGCAGGUGUGGUUUCCACAGCAUCCUUCCACCACAGUGGGACCUCUGAAGACUUGAUCCUCUGCCCAGCGCAGCAUCAUCCAGCCUGAGAAAAGCCAUCUAUGAGCAACAGGCCUGCUCAAGAGUCACUUGGGAUUUGAGGGACUCUGGAGAUGCUAAUCUAAAGUGAGACUAGAACUACUUGGAGAUCCUUCUAAUUCCAUCUGACUCUGCGGACUUAAGGCUCAUGCAGACAGUCAUACUCUUUGGACAUCUUGCCAAGAAGGAGCUUCCAAGCCGCCAAUGUGAAGGGAAACUGAAGAAAGCCAUGGAUCUUUCCAUAAAGCUGUUGCUAAGGUCCACAGGCUCUCCAGACUCUCAGGUCUAACUCAAGCAUCUUGGCCUCUCCAUGCCACGACUCACAGCCCACAGGUCUCUGGAACGUCACUGUUGUCACGUGAUCCUCCUUUCUGCCACCACGCUACUUCAGACUGUGGUCUCCAGUGAACCCAAUGACUGGUUCCUGGGCUUCCCCCACUCCCCCAGCCCCUCACUGCCAUGCCGUUGUCUCAGCCUCUGCCUGGAGACUCUCCAUGGCUCCUGAUGGCUCCCCGGCCUUCUGAGUCCCACUGUCUGCCAUCACUGGUCUGCUGGUCCCGUCUGAUCCUCCCACACAGUGCCCAGCUCCUGACGCGCAGCUGCCUCAGGAGCACAGACACAGCCUCAGGGCUCCUUCUUCUACCUUCUGUCUGCUUCUCAAUUCUCUUCACACACCACCUCUUCCCGGACUACCCAUCAGGUACUCAGACCUGGGAUGAAUCUUCAUUAAAUUUGCCAAGAAAGAGAUGGGCAUCAGCAAGUGCUCCUAGGCAGCAGCCUCGAGGUAGGGGACCAGCGCAAACCCAGCAGCUUAGCUCUUUAUGUUCUGAGCUAGCUUAGGGAUCAGGCUGCGUGGUCUAGUUGGAGAGGGGCCCACUUAUGAGCUCCCUAAGGAGUAGGGGAGACUACUUUGCUCCCCGUAUUUUAGCUGAGCUGAGGACGUGAUGAUGAAGAUGACGACAGCUUCCCAGGUCCAGAGCAUCUCUGAGUUGUCUUGUGUCCUCACUACAGUAUGCAUCCCUGUGGAAAGAGGACAGUAUAGGACUCAUCAUCACAGCCAGUCCGAGUCUCAGGGAUGACAGUAGUCUGUGCCAGCUGUGUGUAGCUAGCACUCCAUAGGGGCCCUACAGGCAGAGGCCAGAGCCAUGUCCACAUGGUGGCCCUGUUGGCUUGCACAGAGUGGGAUGGGUGGGAUGAAGGGCCGGACUCUGAGAAAUCAUGAUGGGUCUUGUUCAAACCCAUGCUUAACUUUAGACCAGUGUCUUAAAAGUUAAUCUAUAAAGUUGCUCCUCUGCUGUGAGAACCUCUGAGCUGCUGUAGAGGCCAUCAAAAGAUGCUGAGCGGUGAGUCAAAAGGCCAUGUGCCAUCUCAUUUCUGCCCAUUCAUGGCUCCUAACUUCAUCUUCCUGCACCUCAGGCUCUCCACUUAUAGACAAGGAAUGUUCAUUGUAGGCUCUUCCCGACACUGGACAUUUUUCGUGUUCAUCCUACACUGAAGAUUUUGGUGGAAUAGCCCUCCUGAACCUCCUAGAAUGGGACAGCCCAAGAUCGUGGCCAGAGCGGCUGAUAGUGGGUAUGAUAACCUUGUCUCUGGAAGAUAGGAUCUGGGUUCUUGUGGUAAAAUAUUGUGCUGAUGUGUA